GUCCUCGUUGAUCAAUAGAGAUCUCCUCUUUCGUGUUCAACUGCAUAAUACAUGCAGAGGUGACGUGGGUUCGACACCCACCGAGGGCU